UUUAAUGUAUGUAAGAAGAGGAUAAGCUUUAUAAAUUAUAAAGUGAUAAAAACAUAUUCAAUUGCAUACGUCAUAGGGGGAAAACAUGGUUGAAAUUGUGAAGUUUGUUUAUGUUAUAAUUAUUUUUAUUUCCUUAUUUCUUGGUGCAAACGUUGAAGGUCGUAUUAAAUGUAAAGAAGACUCUGGUUGCCAAAAUGAGUUGUGUGAGUUUCCUUUGAUACCAGUGUGUUUAAAACCUUAUUUUUUAUUCCUUUCCACAAAAGACGGCUUUUGUCAUUGUAAUUGAGCAUUGUGCCCAUAAAAUUCCAUCAGCUAUCAUUUAGUUAUAACGUUAGCACCCAAUAAUUAAAAAAAAAAAAAAGAUCUUUUAAUAUUUUCAUAGACCUUGUAAUCAUGGAUUUAUACUCUAAGAUGAUCAUAAUCAAAUGAAAUAAGUAAAAAAUAAAAUUAUUUAAAUUGUCUUCUUUUCUCUUUAUAUUGGAGAAAUUCACAUGUAUUUCAAUUCAAGCAUAUCACAUUUUCUUUCCGACCCUUCCACCUAUCAAAUGUUUUUUAAUAGUUAAGUUCAAAAAUAAUUUGUAUGUUACUAGCUAAGGCUAUAAUUUUAUAUUUAUAUCAUAGUAUUGAUACACUUA